rnacentral:rRNA from 1 species
GGGUUGUGAGGUUAAGCGACUAAGCGUACACGGUGGAUGCCCUGGCAGUCAGAGGCGAUGAAGGACGUGCUAAUCUGCGAUAAGCGUCGGUAAGGUGAUAUGAACCGUUAUAACCGGCGAUUUCCGAAUGGGGAAACCCAGUGUGUUUCGACACACUAUCAUUAACUGAAUCCAUAGGUUAAUGAGGCGAACCGGGGGAACUGAAACAUCUAAGUACCCCGAGGAAAAGAAAUCAACCGAGAUUCCCCCAGUAGCGGCGAGCGAACGGGGAGCAGCCCAGAGCCUGAAUCAGUGUGUGUGUUAGUGGAAGCGUCUGGAAAGGCGCGCGAUACAGGGUGACAGCCCCGUACACAAAAAUGCACAUGCUGUGAGCUCGAUGAGUAGGGCGGGACACGUGGUAUCCUGUCUGAAUAUGGGGGGACCAUCCUCCAAGGCUAAAUACUCCUGACUGACCGAUAGUGAACCAGUACCGUGAGGGAAAGGCGAAAAGAACCCCGGCGAGGGGAGUGAAAAAGAACCUGAAACCGUGUACGUACAAGCAGUGGGAGCACGCUUAGGCGUGUGACUGCGUACCUUUUGUAUAAUGGGUCAGCGACUUAUAUUCUGUAGCAAGGUUAACCGAAUAGGGGAGCCGAAGGGAAACCGAGUCUUAACUGGGCGUUAAGUUGCAGGGUAUAGACCCGAAACCCGGUGAUCUAGCCAUGGGCAGGUUGAAGGUUGGGUAACACUAACUGGAGGACCGAACCGACUAAUGUUGAAAAAUUAGCGGAUGACUUGUGGCUGGGGGUGAAAGGCCAAUCAAACCGGGAGAUAGCUGGUUCUCCCCGAAAGCUAUUUAGGUAGCGCCUCGUGAAUUCAUCUCCGGGGGUAGAGCACUGUUUCGGCAAGGGGGUCAUCCCGACUUACCAACCCGAUGCAAACUGCGAAUACCGGAGAAUGUUAUCACGGGAGACACACGGCGGGUGCUAACGUCCGUCGUGAAGAGGGAAACAACCCAGACCGCCAGCUAAGGUCCCAAAGUCAUGGUUAAGUGGGAAACGAUGUGGGAAGGCCCAGACAGCCAGGAUGUUGGCUUAGAAGCAGCCAUCAUUUAAAGAAAGCGUAAUAGCUCACUGGUCGAGUCGGCCUGCGCGGAAGAUGUAACGGGGCUAAACCAUGCACCGAAGCUGCGGCAGCGACGCUUAUGCGUUGUUGGGUAGGGGAGCGUUCUGUAAGCCUGCGAAGGUGUGCUGUGAGGCAUGCUGGAGGUAUCAGAAGUGCGAAUGCUGACAUAAGUAACGAUAAAGCGGGUGAAAAGCCCGCUCGCCGGAAGACCAAGGGUUCCUGUCCAACGUUAAUCGGGGCAGGGUGAGUCGACCCCUAAGGCGAGGCCGAAAGGCGUAGUCGAUGGGAAACAGGUUAAUAUUCCUGUACUUGGUGUUACUGCGAAGGGGGGACGGAGAAGGCUAUGUUGGCCGGGCGACGGUUGUCCCGGUUUAAGCGUGUAGGCUGGUUUUCCAGGCAAAUCCGGAAAAUCAAGGCUGAGGCGUGAUGACGAGGCACUACGGUGCUGAAGCAACAAAUGCCCUGCUUCCAGGAAAAGCCUCUAAGCAUCAGGUAACAUCAAAUCGUACCCCAAACCGACACAGGUGGUCAGGUAGAGAAUACCAAGGCGCUUGAGAGAACUCGGGUGAAGGAACUAGGCAAAAUGGUGCCGUAACUUCGGGAGAAGGCACGCUGAUAUGUAGGUGAAGCGACUUGCUCGUGGAGCUGAAAUCAGUCGAAGAUACCAGCUGGCUGCAACUGUUUAUUAAAAACACAGCACUGUGCAAACACGAAAGUGGACGUAUACGGUGUGACGCCUGCCCGGUGCCGGAAGGUUAAUUGAUGGGGUUAGCGCAAGCGAAGCUCUUGAUCGAAGCCCCGGUAAACGGCGGCCGUAACUAUAACGGUCCUAAGGUAGCGAAAUUCCUUGUCGGGUAAGUUCCGACCUGCACGAAUGGCGUAAUGAUGGCCAGGCUGUCUCCACCCGAGACUCAGUGAAAUUGAACUCGCUGUGAAGAUGCAGUGUACCCGCGGCAAGACGGAAAGACCCCGUGAACCUUUACUAUAGCUUGACACUGAACAUUGAGCCUUGAUGUGUAGGAUAGGUGGGAGGCUUUGAAGUGUGGACGCCAGUCUGCAUGGAGCCGACCUUGAAAUACCACCCUUUAAUGUUUGAUGUUCUAACGUUGACCCGUAAUCCGGGUUGCGGACAGUGUCUGGUGGGUAGUUUGACUGGGGCGGUCUCCUCCUAAAGAGUAACGGAGGAGCACGAAGGUUGGCUAAUCCUGGUCGGACAUCAGGAGGUUAGUGCAAUGGCAUAAGCCAGCUUGACUGCGAGCGUGACGGCGCGAGCAGGUGCGAAAGCAGGUCAUAGUGAUCCGGUGGUUCUGAAUGGAAGGGCCAUCGCUCAACGGAUAAAAGGUACUCCGGGGAUAACAGGCUGAUACCGCCCAAGAGUUCAUAUCGACGGCGGUGUUUGGCACCUCGAUGUCGGCUCAUCACAUCCUGGGGCUGAAGUAGGUCCCAAGGGUAUGGCUGUUCGCCAUUUAAAGUGGUACGCGAGCUGGGUUUAGAACGUCGUGAGACAGUUCGGUCCCUAUCUGCCGUGGGCGCUGGAGAACUGAGGGGGGCUGCUCCUAGUACGAGAGGACCGGAGUGGACGCAUCACUGGUGUUCGGGUUGUCAUGCCAAUGGCACUGCCCGGUAGCUAAAUGCGGAAGAGAUAAGUGCUGAAAGCAUCUAAGCACGAAACUUGCCCCGAGAUGAGUUCUCCCUGA